rnacentral:other from 1 species
GAUACGGUGGAGCAGGAAAGCAUCAGGAUGAUGCAGCUUCAGGAAGAGGAAAUGGAUGCGCUCAGUGAAGAGCGAAGGACGGCGUCAGGAGAUGCCAAGGAUGUUUCAGGAUUGAAACCAGGGACACCUCCAGGAUGGAGAUUGAGAGCCGGCAAAGGAGGGUUGGCGGGUCAUGAAGACUAAGGAACCGCGUCAGGACGAUGCUACAGGAUAGAGCAAGGACGGUUGGGUCAGGAUGGCCGCAGGAAAAGUUUUCAAGGAUUGAGCAGGGAGCACACUGUGUAGCGGGACAGCUAUAAAACGAACCGGGGGCACUGUUAACGCAGUGCCCCCAACUUUUUAU